UUACUUUGCGACAGGAGUCCCCAUCCGAUUUGUCUCGCGCACGCGCUCUCUGCUUAAUUAAAAUUCAUUUCACGACGCUGUCCGAUUUGUUCUGCGCAUGUCCAAUGUUUUACGACACACGAGAAAAAAAGUUACCACGGGAUUUUAAUUUCUCGGUCUGCAUUAACAAAUAGAACUUUCGCCAUUCGAGUGAGAAGGAGAAAGAAGAACGCUGUAGAGAAUAGGAGCAUAUUGAAUUUUUCUCCUGGCAGAAGAAUAAUUUUCACUUCUUGAAAAAAUGAAGACUUUUCAAUUUUACAACGACUUGAAAGAAUAUCUUUUACGGGAAGAAUUUAGCAACAAUUUAACGGUCAGAGAGCGAAGUGAAAUACGACGUGUGUCCGUGAAUUUUAUGAUUAAAGUCCAUCAUCCAUGCCCUGGCUGCUCAACAGGGUGUAUCAGGACAGGAGGCAGAAGACUUAUUUCUUGGUGGCCCAGAAUACAGUAUCAGGUAAAAGUCAAGUCUAUGAAUGUUUGAAGUAAGUGUUUAAAUAUUUCUUGUUUAUUAUUUUUAUAUUUUACUUGCCUUAGUGAAGUGGAAGAAUUUAACUGAAAGAUAGGGCAGCAAUUAAAGAAGGAGGGAAUGCUGUGAUAUCUGUUGGAAUAGAAGAUGAUGCUACUGCCCAGUGCUUCCAGAAUCCUUCAUUUGAGUCGUGGGUCUGAAUCUACUGCGUCACUGCCAAGUAUUCUGGGUGAUGCCCUUUGCCAUGCACCCUGGUCAAGUCUUGUGCAACUGACUGUGGUGCUGAAGAGAGAAGAUUUCUGAAGACCCUCUUGAAAUGGAGCUGCAAUUGGAUUAACACCACAACAGUAUGCUCGCUGAGAAUGUCCACAGGGGCCUGGGGAGGCUGUGACCUUGUGACCCUGAGACGUUGUUUUGUCAAUCAUCCUGACCAACUGGACCUUCUUGUGUUCUUCAACAGGGCCAUCUGAUCAUCCAGAUAUAGUUAAGGAGAAGGACCUUUCAAUUUUCCUCUUGUGUACUUUUAAAUUGUAUAUAUAUUUUUUCGUUUUGAUAAAGUUAUAUAUAUUUGUUAAGCAGUUUAGCAGUUUGGGCUUUAUUAGUAUUAAAAUAUGUUAGAAGUUAUCUGUGGAAUAAUUUUAAUAAUCAAAAUAGCAAAACAAUGUAACUUUAAAUUUUCUGUGCUCUGGGUAAAAUAUGUUAAAGCUAUGUGGUGAUUUUUUUUUACUUCUUUGGGUUUUUUU